rnacentral:rRNA from 1 species
UUUGGUUAAGUUAGAAAGGGCGCACGGUGGAUGCCUUGACACUAGGAGUCGAUGAAGGACGGGACUAACGCCGAUAUGCUUCGGGGAGCUGUAAGUAAGCUUUGAUCCGAAGAUUUCCGAAUGGGGAAACCCACCAUACGUAAUGGUAUGGUAUCCUUAUCUGAAUACAUAGGGUAAGGAAGACAGACCCAGGGAACUGAAACAUCUAAGUACCUGGAGGAAGAGAAAGCAAAUGCGAUUUCCUGAGUAGCGGCGAGCGAAACGGAACAUAGCCCAAACCAAGAGGCUUGCCUCUUGGGGGUGUAGGACAUUCUAUACGGAGUUACAAAGGAACGAGGUAGACGAAGCGACCUGGAAAGGUCCGUCGUAGAGGGUAACAACCCCGUAGUCGAAACUUCGUUCUCUCUUGAAUGUAUCCUGAGUACGGCGGAACACGUGAAAUUCCGUCGGAAUCUGGGAGGACCAUCUCCCAAGGCUAAAUACUCCCUAGUGAUCGAUAGUGAACCAGUACCGGGAGGGAAAGGUGAAAAGCACCCCGGAAGGGGAGUGAAAGAGAUCCUGAAACCGUGUGCCUACAAAUAGUCAGAGCCCGUUAAUGGGUGAUGGCGUGCCUUUUGUAGAAUGAACCGGCGAGUUACGAUCCCGUGCGAGGUUAAGCUGAAGAGGCGGAGCCGCAGCGAAAGCGAGUCUGAAUAGGGCGUUUAGUACGUGGUCGUAGACCCGAAACCAGGUGAUCUACCCAUGUCCAGGGUGAAGUUCAGGUAACACUGAAUGGAGGCCCGAACCCACGCACGUUGAAAAGUGCGGGGAUGAGGUGUGGGUAGCGGAGAAAUUCCAAUCGAACCUGGAGAUAGCUGGUUCUCCCCGAAAUAGCUUUAGGGCUAGCCUUAAGUGUAAGAGUCUUGGAGGUAGAGCACUGAUUGGACUAGGGGUCCUCAUCGGAUUACCGAAUUCAGUCAAACUCCGAAUGCCAAUGACUUAUCCUUAGGAGUCAGACUGCGAGUGAUAAGAUCCGUAGUCAAAAGGGAAACAGCCCAGACCGCCAGCUAAGGUCCCAAAGUGUGUAUUAAGUGGAAAAGGAUGUGGAGUUGCUUAGACAACUAGGAUGUUGGCUUAGAAGCAGCCACCAUUUAAAGAGUGCGUAAUAGCUCACUAGUCGAGUGACUCUGCGCCGAAAAUGUACCGGGGCUAAAUACACCACCGAAGCUGCGGAUUGAUACCGAAUGGUAUCAGUGGUAGGGGAGCGUUCUAAGGACAGUGAAGUCAGACCGUAAGGACUGGUGGAGUGCUUAGAAGUGAGAAUGCCGGUAUGAGUAGCGAAAGACGGGUGAGAAUCCCGUCCACCGAAUGCCUAAGGUUUCCUGAGGAAGGCUCGUCCGCUCAGGGUUAGUCAGGACCUAAGCCGAGGCCGACAGGCGUAGGCGAUGGACAACAGGUUGAUAUUCCUGUACCACCUCUUUAUCGUUUGAGCAAUGGAGGGACGCAGAAGGAUAGAAGAAGCGUGCGAUUGGUUGUGCACGUCCAAGCAGUUAGGCUGAUAAGUAGGCAAAUCCGCUUAUCGUGAAGGCUGAGCUGUGAUGGGGAAGCUCCUUAUGGAGCGAAGUCUUUGAUUCCCCGCUGCCAAGAAAAGCUUCUAGCGAGAUAAAAGGUGCCUGUACCGCAAACCGACACAGGUAGGCGAGGAGAGAAUCCUAAGGUGUGCGAGAGAACUCUGGUUAAGGAACUCGGCAAAAUGACCCCGUAACUUCGGGAGAAGGGGUGCUUUCUUAACGGAAAGCCGCAGUGAAUAGGCCCAAGCGACUGUUUAGCAAAAACACAGCUCUCUGCGAAGCCGUAAGGCGAAGUAUAGGGGGUGACACCUGCCCGGUGCUGGAAGGUUAAGGAGAGGGGUUAGCGUAAGCGAAGCUCUGAACUGAAGCCCCAGUAAACGGCGGCCGUAACUAUAACGGUCCUAAGGUAGCGAAAUUCCUUGUCGGGUAAGUUCCGACCCGCACGAAAGGUGUAACGAUUUGGGCACUGUCUCAACCAGAGACUCGGUGAAAUUAUAGUACCUGUGAAGAUGCAGGUUACCCGCGACAGGACGGAAAGACCCCGUGGAGCUUUACUGUAGCCUGAUAUUGAAUUUUGGUACAGUUUGUACAGGAUAGGCGGGAGCCAUUGAAACCGGAGCGCUAGCUUCGGUGGAGGCGCUGGUGGGAUACCGCCCUGACUGUAUUGAAAUUCUAACCUACGGGUCUUAUCGACCCGGGAGACAGUGUCAGGUGGGCAGUUUGACUGGGGCGGUCGCCUCCUAAAGUGUAACGGAGGCGCCCAAAGGUUCCCUCAGAAUGGUUGGAAAUCAUUCGUAGAGUGCAAAGGCAUAAGGGAGCUUGACUGCGAGACCUACAAGUCGAGCAGGGACGAAAGUCGGGCUUAGUGAUCCGGUGGUUCCGCAUGGAAGGGCCAUCGCUCAACGGAUAAAAGCUACCCCGGGGAUAACAGGCUUAUCUCCCCCAAGAGUCCACAUCGACGGGGAGGUUUGGCACCUCGAUGUCGGCUCAUCGCAUCCUGGGGCUGUAGUCGGUCCCAAGGGUUGGGCUGUUCGCCCAUUAAAGCGGUACGCGAGCUGGGUUCAGAACGUCGUGAGACAGUUCGGUCCCUAUCCGUCGUGGGCGUAGGAAAUUUGAGAGGAGCUGUCCUUAGUACGAGAGGACCGGGAUGGACGCACCGCUGGUGUACCAGUUGUUCUGCCAAGGGCAUAGCUGGGUAGCUAUGUGCGGAAGGGAUAAGUGCUGAAAGCAUCUAAGCAUGAAGCCCCCCUCAAGAUGAGAUUUCCCAUAGCGUAAGCUAGUAAGAUCCCUGAAAGAUGAUCAGGUUGAUAGGUUCGAGGUGGAAGCAUGGUGACAUGUGGAGCUGACGAAUACUAAUAGAUCGAGGACUUAACCAUAUAA